GUUGAUAAGGUUAAGUGAAUAAGGGCGCACGGUGGAUGCCUUGGCACUAGGAGCCGAUGAAGGACGGGACUAACACCGAUAUGCUUUGGGGAGCUGUAAGUAAGCUAUGAUCCAGAGAUUUCCGAAUGGGGGAACCCAAUAUCUUUUAUAGGAUAUUACUUUUCAGUGAAUACAUAGCUGAUUAGAGGUAGACGCAGAGAACUGAAACAUCUUAGUACCUGCAGGAAGAGAAAGAAAAUUCGAUUCCCUGAGUAGCGGCGAGCGAAACGGGAAGAGCCCAAACCAACAAGCUUGCUUGUUGGGGUUGUAGGACUCCAAUAUGGUAGUCUGUUAGUAUAGUUGAAGGAUUUGGAAAAUUCCGCUAAAGAGGGUGAAAGCCCCGUAGACGAAAUGCUAACAACACCUAGGAGGAUCCUGAGUACGGCGGAACACGAGAAAUUCCGUCGGAAUCCGCGGGGACCAUCCCGCAAGGCUAAAUACUCCCUAGUGACCGAUAGUGAACCAGUACCGUGAGGGAAAGGUGAAAAGCACCCCGGAAGGGGAGUGAAAUAGAUCCUGAAACCGUGUGCCUACAACAAGUCAAAGCUCGUUAAUGAGUGAUGGCGUGCCUUUUGUAGAAUGAACCGGCGAGUUACGAUUGCAUGCGAGGUUAAGUCGAAGAGACGGAGCCGCAGCGAAAGCGAGUCUGAAUAGGGCGAAUGAGUAUGUAGUCGUAGACCCGAAACCAUGUGAUCUACCCAUGUCCAGGUUGAAGGUGCGGUAAAACGCACUGGAGGACCGAACCCACGUACGUUGAAAAGUGCGGGGAUGAGGUGUGGGUAGCGGAGAAAUUCCAAACGAACUUGGAGAUAGCUGGUUCUCUCCGAAAUAGCUUUAGGGCUAGCCUCGGAAUUGAGAAUGAUGGAGGUAGAGCACUGUUUGGACUAGGGGCCCAUCUCGGGUUACCGAAUUCAGAUAAACUCCGAAUGCCAUUCAUUUAUAUCCGGGAGUCAGACUGCGAGUGAUAAGAUCCGUAGUCGAAAGGGAAACAGCCCAGACCACCAGCUAAGGUCCCAAAAUAUAUGUUAAGUGGAAAAGGAUGUGGGGUUGCACAGACAACUAGGAUGUUGGCUUAGAAGCAGCCACCAUUUAAAGAGUGCGUAAUAGCUCACUAGUCGAGUGACCCUGCGCCGAAAAUGUACCGGGGCUAAACAUAUUACCGAAGCUGUGGACUACACCAUUAGGUGUAGUGGUAGGAGAGCGUUCUAAGGGCGUUGAAGGUCGAUCGUGAGGACGGCUGGAGCGCUUAGAAGUGAGAAUGCCGGUAUGAGUAGCGAAAGACAGGUGAGAAUCCUGUCCACCGUAUGACUAAGGUUUCCUGGGGAAGGCUCGUCCGCCCAGGGUUAGUCGGGACCUAAGCCGAGGCCGAUAGGCGUAGGCGAUGGACAACAGGUUGAUAUUCCUGUACCAGUUGUUUUUGUUUGAGCAAUGGAGGGACGCAGUAGGCUAAGGAAUGCAUGCGAUUGGAAGUGCAUGUCCAAGCAAUGAGUCUUGAGUAGAGUUAAAUGCUUUACUCUCUAAGGACAAGUUGUGACGGGGAGCGAAAUAAUAGUAGCGAAGUUCCUGAUGUCACACUGCCAAGAAAAGCUUCUAGUGAGAAAACAACUGCCCGUACCGUAAACCGACACAGGUAGUCGAGGAGAGUAUCCUAAGGUGAGCGAGCGAACUCUCGUUAAGGAACUCGGCAAAAUGACCCCGUAACUUCGGGAGAAGGGGUGCUGACUUCGGUCAGCCGCAGUGAAUAGGCCCAAGCGACUGUUUAUCAAAAACACAGGUCUCUGCAAAAUCGUAAGAUGAAGUAUAGGGGCUGACGCCUGCCCGGUGCUGGAAGGUUAAGAGGAUGGGUUAGCUUCGGCGAAGCUCAGAAUUGAAGCCCCAGUAAACGGCGGCCGUAACUAUAACGGUCCUAAGGUAGCGAAAUUCCUUGUCGGGUAAGUUCCGACCCGCACGAAAGGCGUAACGAUUUGGGCACUGUCUCAACGAGAGACUCGGUGAAAUUUUAGUACCUGUGAAGAUGCAGGUUACCCGCGACAGGACGGAAAGACCCCAUGGAGCUUUACUGUAGUUUGAUAUUGAGUGUUUGUACCACAUGUACAGGAUAGGUAGGAGCCGAUGAGACCGGAACGCUAGUUUCGGAGGAGGCGCUGGUGGGAUACUACCCUUGUGUUAUGAACCCUCUAACCCGCACCACUAAUCGUGGUGGGAGACAGUGUCAGAUGGGCAGUUUGACUGGGGCGGUCGCCUCCUAAAAGG
rnacentral:rRNA from 1 species